GACGAACGCUGGCGGCGUGCUUAACACAUGCAAGUCGAACGGAAAGGCCCUGCUUUUGUUGUUUGCUCGAGUGUCGAACGCGUGAGUAUCACGUGAGUAACCUGCCCUUUACUUUGGGAUAACUUCAGGAAACUGGGGCUAAUACCGCAUAUAAGCUCCUGCUGCAUGUUGGAGGUUGGAAAGUUUCGGCGGUUGGGGAUGGACUCGCGGCUUAUCAGCUUGUUGGUGGGGUAGUGGCUUACCAAGGCUUUGACGGGUAGCCGGCCUGAGAGGGUGACCGGCCACAUUGGGACUGAGAUACGGCCCAGACUCCUACGGGAGGCAGCAGGGGGGAAUAUUGCACACUGGGCGGAAGCCUGAUGCAGCAACGCCGCGUGCGGGAUGACGGCCGUCGGGUUGUAAACCGCGUUCGCCUGUGACGAAGAGUGAGUGACGGUAAUGGGUAAAGAAGCACCGGCUAACUACGUG
rnacentral:rRNA from 1 species